rnacentral:tRNA from 1 species
GCCUCUGUAGCUCAGCGGUAGAGCAUCCGCCUUGUAAGCGGAAGGUCGUGGGUUCGACACCCACCGGAGGCU